GUCUCUGGGCAUCGUAGAACAACUCCCUCCUGGCAUCUGAGGGGCAAGAUUGUGGGUUCCCAAGGGAAGAAGCAGAGAGAAUAAUGGGAUUACCUGGGACUGGGGGUUUGGUGGGGAAGUGAAAAGCUGGGGGACAUGGGAGGGACUGGAGGAGUGGAGAAAAGAGCUCCCUAGCGGGGCAGAGCAUGCUGACUCACCACCCCUUCCCACCCCAUCCUGUGUCCCCACAGCCAUCUGCGGGGGUGAUGUGAAAAAGGACUAUGGCCACAUUCAAUCGCCCAACUACCCAGACGAUUACCGGCCCAGCAAAGUCUGCAUCUGGCGGAUCCAGGUGUCUGAGGGCUUCCACGUGGGCCUCACAUUCCAGUCCUUUGAGAUUGAGCGCCACGACAGCUGUGCCUACGACUAUCUGGAGGUGCGCGACGGGCACAGUGAGAGCAGCACCCUCAUCGGGCGCUACUGUGGCUACGAGAAGCCUGAUGACAUCAAGAGCACGUCCAGCCGCCUCUGGCUCAAGUUCGUCUCUGAUGGGUCCAUUAACAAAGCGGGCUUUGCCGUCAACUUUUUCAAAGAGGUGGACGAGUGCUCUCGGCCCAACCGCGGGGGCUGUGAGCAGCGGUGCCUCAACACCCUGGGCAGCUACAAGUGCAGCUGUGACCCUGGGUACGAGCUGGCCCCAGACAAGCGCCGCUGUGAGG
rnacentral:sRNA from 1 species